rnacentral:rRNA from 1 species
AUACGUAGGGGGCAAGCGUUAUCCGGAUUUACUGGGUGUAAAGGGAGCGUAGACGGCAAAGCAAGUCUGAAGUGAAAGCCCCGGGCUCAACCCGGGAAUUGCUUUGGAAACUGUUUAGCUGGAGUGCAGGAGAGGUAAGCGGAAUUCCUAGUGUAGCGGUGAAAUGCGUAGAUAUUAGGAGGAACACCGGAGGCGAAGGCGGCUUACUGGACUGUAACUGACGUUGAGGCUCGAAAGCGUGGGGAGCAAACAGGAUUAGAUACCCUGGUAGUCCACGCCGUAAACGAUGAUUACUAGGUGUUGGUUGUCAUAGACAAUCGGUGCCGCAGCAAACGCAAUAAGUAAUCCACCUGGGGAGUACGUUCGCAAGAAUGAAACUCAAAUGAAUUGACGG